CGCACCAAUUGCGCACACAAAAGACAUGACGACAAAAAAUUUCUGAUAGACGGAAAUAGUUCUGUUUUACAGUUGUUUACAAUGAAACGAUUAUAAAUUUUACAAGAUUGUGGAUCUUUGAAGUGCAAGCGAACGAAAUGGUCGGGUCAUGUGAAGCAGCUCCAGAACAUUCUAAAGGUCCUGAUGUUGUGUUUGUCAACGACGGCAAGACGACCUACAUCAACGGCGGCAACCACGGGGACACCCCCCUUUCUGGCUCCCACCCCAGACAAGCCCCGCCCAGAAAAAGACAACAUCCAUGUGAUGAUGAAAGUGAAACCUAUAACAAGAAGACAAGGAAUGACGGUCAUGGAGGCUCGAACUAAGGACCUUUGGUUGAUGGGUCAAGGUUCAUCUGCUCGUUCUUUUGGAUGCAUUCUACUCUAUAAAUGUUGAUAUAUUUUUUUUUAUAAUAUAUGUAUGUACACAGACACAUUCAUAGAAACACAUAUAGACGCACACGCUGACCGACACAGACGCACAUACAAACGCAUACAGAUACACGCACAAAUGAACACACACCGACGAUAACAAAUGUCUACCAAUUGGUAUGUAAUUCUAGGUAACCGAAUAUGGUGAGGGUAUAGGCUAGACCAUGCUAAAAUAAUGUGUCGUGCAGACUUCAGAUUUAAGUCGUGUAUUUUGACAGUAAUCUGUUCCAUCACUUGUCAAAAUAAAA